CGUGCGCGAAGGGCGCUGCGGCGGGUGUUCUGCCUGCCAGGGUUGCAGAGCCGCAGUGUGCACCUGCAAAUGUUCUCUGCGUGUCUUGACUCCAGGUGCUUGCAGAUGGGAUUUUCCAAAGAAUGAGGGUCCCCCCAAUAAAAGUUCACUUCCGACAGAUGGUGCUGGCUCUCUCAACUCGCUCUCCCAUUUGGCGGACUUGGGACAGACAGCGGAGGAGCCGUCCUGGAGCUUGAUUUAAAGGAUGUCAGCGAGACCCUGCCUUGGCCAACUACAAGCAGUCGCUCCUGCUGGCCUUGCAGAAGCAAACAGCAUGAUGGGGCUGGCCCCUGUGUGACUGGAGACCACAGGCAGUCUCCAGAACCUGAAGGGAGCGUCCAGCCAAUGGCAGGAAGAAGCCAGCGCCUUAGUCACAGGACCAUAAGGAAACAUCUUUCCAAGAUGAGAGAGCAUGUAGGGCUCAUGCCUGGUCUCCUGAGGACCACACAGCYGGACUGACCUCCGCAUGGUAGCUAUGUGCAACCUGAGCAGGGGAUCCCAGCUAAGUCRUGCCAAACACCUACCCCCUGGGAACAGAGAGUAAUGUGUGCUAGU